rnacentral:misc_RNA from 1 species
AAAAAAAAUACGGAAGAGAGAGAGAGAAUUGAGCGCGCCGCAUCGCAGAGAAGGAGAAGAAGACUUGCCUGGCGGUAACGGCAGGUGGACCAUCGAACUGCGGGAAAGCAGACGCAGGGCGAGUCUGGUGCAGAAUCUGAUGGAUCCCAAUGAUUGGAGAGUUCACUUGCAGCGUGAUUCACGCGAAAGAAUUGUCAACGAGAUAAUAGGGACACUAAAGAGGCAUCUGC